CAGUGCCACGGUAAUACCAGCAGCCCAAGUGGUGGUCGCGCUUAUUGGGCCUAAAGCGCUCGUAGCCUGGCCGGUAAGUUCCCCGUGAAAUCGGGUCGCCCAACGAUUCGGCUUGCGGGGAAUACUGUCGGUCUUGGGGCCGGGAGACGCCGAGGGUACUCCGGGGGUAGCGGUGAAAUGCUGUAAUCCUCGGGGGACUACCAGUGGCGAAGGCGCUCGGCGAUAACGGGCCUGACGGUGAGGGGCGAAAGCCAGGGGAGCGAACGGGAUUAGAUACCCCCGUAGUCCCUGUCUCUUAUAC
rnacentral:rRNA from 1 species